rnacentral:rRNA from 1 species
UACGUAGGGGGCAAGCGUUGUCCGGAAUCAUUGGGCGUAAAGGGCUCGUAGGCGGUCUGUUGCGUCAGGAGUGAAAACUCGGGGCUUAACCCCGAGCCUGCUUCUGAUACGGGCAGACUAGAGGUAUGCAGGGGAGAACGGAAUUCCUGGUGUAGCGGUGAAAUGCGCAGAUAUCAGGAGGAACACCGGUGGCGAAGGCGGUUCUCUGGGCAUUACCUGACGCUGAGGAGCGAAAGUGUGGGGAGCGAACAGG